rnacentral:lncRNA from 1 species
GGGGACAGCCCGGCGUCCCAGGUGUGCCCGGGAUGAAAGGUGACGAUGGCAGCCCAGGCCGCGAUGGGCUCGAUGGAUUCCCCGGCCUCCCAGGCCCUCCCGGUGAUGGCAUCAAGGGCCCUCCAGGGGACCCAGGCUAUCCAGGAAUACCUGGAACGAAGGGUACUCCAGGAGAAAUGGGCCCCCCAGGACUGGGCCUUCCCGGCCUCAAAGGCCAACGUGGUUUCCCUGGAGACGCCGGCUUACCUGGACCACCAGGCUUCCUGGGCCCUCCUGGCCCCGCAGGGACCCCAGGACAAAUAGAUUGUGACACAGAUGUGAAAAGGGCCGUUGGAGGUGACAGACAGGAGGCCAUCCAGCCAGGUUGCAUAGGAGGGCCCAAGGGAUUGCCAGGCCUGCCAGGACCCCCAGGCCCCACAGGUGCCAAAGGCCUCCGAGGAAUCCCAGGCUUCGCAGGAGCUGAUGGAGGACCAGGGCCCAGGGGCUUGCCAGGAGACGCAGGUCGUGAAGGGUUCCCAGGACCCCCAGGGUUCAUAGGACCCCGAGGAUCCAAAGGUGCAGUGGGCCUCCCUGGCCCAGAUGGAUCCCCAGGUCCCAUCGGCCUGCCAGGGCCAGAUGGGCCCCCUGGGGAAAGGGGCCUCCCUGGAGAAGUCCUGGGAGCUCAGCCCGGGCCACGGGGAGAUGCUGGUGUGCCUGGACAGCCUGGGCUUAAAGGCCUUCCCGGAGACAGAGGCCCCCCUGGAUUCAGAGGAAGCCAAGGGAUGCCUGGGAUGCCAGGGCUGAAGGGCCAGCCAGGCCUCCCAGGACCUUCCGGCCAGCCAGGCCUGUAUGGGCCUCCAGGACUGCAUGGAUUCCCAGGAGCUCCUGGCCAAGAGGGGCCCUUGGGGCUGCCAGGAAUCCCAGGCCGUGAAGGUCUGCCUGGUGAUAGAGGGGACCCUGGGGACACAGGCGCUCCUGGCCCUGUGGGCAUGAAAGGUCUCUCUGGUGACAGAGGAGAUGCUGGCUUCACAGGGGAGCAAGGCCAUCCAGGAAGCCCUGGAUUUAAAGGAAUUGAUGGAAUGCCUGGGACCCCCGGGCUAAAAGGAGAUAGAGGCUCACCUGGGAUGGAUGGUUUCCAAGGCAUGCCUGGACUCAAAGGGAGACCCGGGUUUCCAGGGAGCAAAGGCGAGGCUGGAUUUUUCGGAAUACCCGGUCUGAAGGGUCUGGCUGGUGAGCCAGGUUUUAAAGGCAGCCGAGGGGACCCUGGGCCCCCAGGACCACCUCCUGUCAUCCUGCCAGGAAUGAAAGACAUU